rnacentral:rRNA from 1 species
GCAUAGGUUCGAGCAACACUAGUGGGAGGUUGGGCCCCGAAUGGCCCGCACUCGCUAAUUUUCUUCCGUAGGUGAACCUGCGGAAGGAUCAUUA